rnacentral:scRNA from 1 species
GACCUUGUGUCCACUGAGCUAUGGGGAAAGCUUCCUUCUCAGCAGUGCCUGAGCUUGAGGCCAAGAUCAGCCCUUGAGGACUGUGGAUCAUCAAAAGGAUGGCCAUGGUAGGGAACGCCAUUUUCCUACCUCAGACGUUC